UGUAGUCUGCAACCCGACUACAUGAAGCUGGAAUCGCUAGUAAUCGCGGAUCAGAAUGCCGCGGUGAAUACGUUCCCGGGUCUUGUACACACCGCCCGUCACACCAUGGGAGUCGGAAAUGCCCGAAGUCUGUGACCCAACCUUAGGGAGGGAGCAGCCGAAGGCAGGUCGGAUGACUGGGGGUGAAGUCGUAACAAGGUAAC
rnacentral:rRNA from 1 species